GUGGCAGCCGCCGCGGUAAAACCAGCACCUCAAGUGGUCAGGAGGAUUAUUGGGCCUAAAGCAUCCGUAGCCUGCUCUGUAAGUUUCCGGUUAAAUCCAUUAGCUCAACUAAUGGCCUGCCGGAAAUACUGUAGAGCUAGGAAGUGGGAGAGGUAGACGGUACUCGGUAGGAAGGGGUAAAAUCCUUUGAUCUAUUGAUGACCACCUGUGGCGAAGGCGGUCUACCAGAACACGUUCGACGGUGAGGGAUGAAAGCUGGGGGAGCAAACCGGAUUAGAUACCCGGGUAGUCCCAGCUGUAAACGAUGCAGACUCGGUGAUGCCCUGGCUUGUGGCCAGUGCAGUGCCGCAGGGAAGCCGUUAAGUUUGCCGCCUGGGAAGUACGUACGCAAGUAUGAAACUUAAAGGAAUUGGCGGGGGAGCACCACAAGGGGUGAAGCCUGCGGUUCAAUUGGAGUCAACGCCAGAAAUCUUACCCGGAGAGACAGCAGAAUGAAGGUCAAGCUGAAGACUUUACCAGACAAGCUGAGAGGUGGUGCAUGGCCGUCGCCAGCUCGUGCCGUGAGAUGUCCUGUUAAGUCAGGUAACGAGCGAGAUCCCUGCCUCUAGUUGCCACCAUUACUCUCAGGAGUAGUGGGGCGAAUUAGCGGGACCGCCACAGUUAAUGUGGAGGAAGGAAGGGGCCACGGCAGGUCAGUAUGCCCCGAAACUCUGGGGCCACACGCGGGCUGCAAUGGUAGUGACAAUGAGUUCCGAAACCGAAAGGUGGAGGUAAUCUUCAAACGCUACCACAGUUAUGAUUGAGGGCUGCAACUCGCCCUCAUGAAUAUGGAAUCCCUAGUAACUGCGUGUCAUUAUCGCGCGGUGAAUACGUCCCUGCUCCUUGUACACACCGCCCGUC
rnacentral:rRNA from 1 species